rnacentral:rRNA from 1 species
AUUGAACGCUGGCGGCAUGCCUUACACAUGCAAGUCGAACGGCAGCACGGGAGCAAUCCUGGUGGCGAGUGGCGAACGGGUGAGUAAAGUAUCGGAACGUGCCCAGUCGUGGGGGAUAACGUAGCGAAAGUUACGCUAAUACCGCAUACGAUCUAUGGAUGAAAGCGGGGGAUCGCAAGACCUCGCGCGAUUGGAGCGGCCGAUAUCAGAUUUGGUAGUUGGUGGGGUAAAGGCUCACCAAGCCGACGAUCUGUAGCUGGUCUGAGAGGACGACCAGCCACACUGGGACCGAGACACGGCCCAGACUCCCACGGGAGGCAGCAGUGGGGAAUUUUGGACAAUGGGCGCAAGCCUGAUCCAGCCAUGCCGCGUGCAGGAUGAAGGCCUUCGGGUUGUAAACUGCUUUUGUACGGAACGAAAAGGUUUGACUUAAUACGUUGGACUCAUGACGGUACCGUAAGAAUAAGCACCGGCUAACUACGUGCCAGCCGCCGCCGUAA